GAUGAACGCUAGCGGCAGGCUUAAUACAUGCAAGUCGAGGGGCAGCAUGAUUGUAGCAAUACAAUUGAUGGCGACCGGCAAACGGGUGCAGAACACGUACAGAACCUUCCUUUAAGUGGUGAAUAGCCCAGAGAAAUUUGGAUUAAUACACCGUAACAUAUAGAGUUGGCAUCAAUUUUAUAUUAUAGCUCCGGCGCUUAAAGAUGGCUGUGCGGCUGAUUAGGUAGUUGGCGGGGUAACGGCCCACCAAGCCUACGAUCAGUAACUGGUGUGGGAGCACGACCAGUCACACGGGCACUGAGACACGGGCCCGACUCCUACGGGAGGCAGCAGUAAGGAAUAUUGGUCAAUGGACGCAAGUCUGAACCAGCCAUGCCGCGUGGGGGAUGAAGGUCCUCUGGAUUGUAAACUUCUUUUCUCUGGGGCGAAAACCUCCCAUUCUUGGGAGCUUGACAGUACCAGAGGAAUAAGCACCGGCUAACUCCGUGCCAGCCGCCGCCGUAAUAC
rnacentral:rRNA from 1 species